rnacentral:rRNA from 1 species
AUGAACGCUGGCGGCGUGCUUAACACCUGCCAGUCGCACGGUGAAAGAGAGCUUGCUCUCUGGAUCAGUGGCGAACGGGUGAGUAACACGUGAGCAAUCUGCCCCUGACUCUGGGAUAAGCGCUGGAAACGGCGUCUAAUACCGGAUACGAGCUGCGAAGGCAUCUUCAGCAGCUGGAAAGAACUUCGGUCAGGGAUGAGCUCGCGGCCUAUCAGCUAGUUGGUGAGGUAACGGCUCACCAAGGCGUCGACGGGUAGCCGGCCUGAGAGGGUGACCGGCCACACUGGGACUGAGACACGGCCCAGACUCCUACGGGAGGCAGCAGUGGGGAAUAUUGCACAAUGGGCGAAAGCCUGAUGCAGCAACGCCGCGUGAGGGACGACGGCCUUCGGGUUGUAAACCUCUUUUAGCAGGGAAGAAGCGAAAGUGACGGUACCUGCAGAAAAAGCACCGGCUAACUACGUG